AUGCGUAUUUAUUUUUGAGAGACAGAGACAGAGCAUGAGUGAGGGAGGGGCAGAGAGGGAGGCAAACACAGAAUCUGACACAGGGCUCGAACCCAUGAACCGUGAGAUCAUGACCUGCGCUGAAGUCGGACACUCAGCCGACUGAGUCGCCCAGGCUCCCCAAGGGACACUUUCACUAUAAAUGCUCUUGGACCUUUUAAAUUAUGGAGCACACAGAUGUGUUGUCUAUUAAAUAUAAAUAAAUUAAAUUUAAAACUCCCCUUUGUACCAUCUCAAUUUAGUUUUUUAAAAAGCACACAUACUAAAUUAUUAUAAAAUAAUUGUUAAUCUAUAUUCUCUGAAUUCAGAUUAUGUUCUAAUGUAACAUAACCCUUUAAUAUGAAAUAUGUAUUUUGCUAUAUAAUAUGCCUGUAUAUUACAUAUUGUAUUUAUCAUACUUAUCCUCUUUUUAAAGUUCUCUUUAUAAAAAAAGAAUCUGAAGGGAAAACAUCAACAUGUUAACAGUGGUUAUUUCUGGGUAGCUGGCAGAUGAGUGAUUUUAAUUUUCUUCUCUCUUCUUUUUCUGUUUCUCCCCUCACUUAUUUUAAAUUUUUAAAAAUUUAUUUAUUUUGAGGGGUGCCUGGGUGGCUCAGUCGGUUGAGCAUCCGACUUUGGCUCAGGUCAUGAUCUCCCAGCUCGUGGGUUCGAGCCCCGCGUCGGGAUCUGUGCUGACGGCUCAGAGCCUGGAUCCUGCUUCGGAUUCUGUGUCUCCCUCUCUCUCUCCCCUUAACCCACUUGUAUUCUGUCUCUGUCUCUCUCAAAAAUAAACAUAAAAAUUUUUUUUUAAUUUAUUUAUUUUUGAGACAGAGACAGCAAGAGUGGGGGAAGGGCAGAGAGAGAGAGAGAGAGAGAGAGAGAGAGAGAGAGAAUCCCAAGCAGGCUCCGUGCUGCCAGUGCUGAGCCCGACGCAGGGCUCAAUCUCAAGAACCUUGAGAUCAUGACCUGCGCUGAAACCAAGAAUCGGGCACUUAACUGAGCCACCCAGGAACCCCUGCCCCAAUUUUUAAUGAUAAAGAUAUAUUCCUUCUAAUGAUCAGGAAAAAGCCAUGUAUGUUCCCCCUCCCCACUGUUUGCAGGAAUCCCUUCAAUGUGCACGUUGAGGCCCCUGUUGCAUUUGCAUCCUCCUCUGUGGUUCCCCGUCCCUCCCCCCCACCCCGCACCCCUGGGAGGGUUUAUGACCCGUGAACACGGCCCCUUGGCUGUUCUCCCCUGUCCUGCAGUAAUGCGACCCAGUCUGUCCAGCUCAAAUAUCCCCCCUCCCAGAUAGAAUCAGGGGCACCCUCCUUUGUGGCCGGGUAACCCACCAUCCCCCUCUGCACCGGCUUCCUCAUGUGUGUGGCCCUUGUCUUAUGAGUCACCGUGCUUCCUGGUGCAGCGCAGGCCCUGACUCACCCCGAGUGCCAGGAAAGUGUGGGCCUAACGGCUGUUCCCUCAUGGCUUCUUCCACCUUCUGCAAGAUGGAGGUACUGAGAGAAUUACUAUUGGCCACAGUCUCUGCUUUGGUGUCUCCUUUCUGCGUGUCAGAGUUUCUAGGGUGUGAACUUGGUGUUCUGCCUGACCUGGCCGCAGUCCUUGUUCCCCUCCUCGCGGGGCCCCCCUACCCAAGUGGCAUUCUUCAAACGGGGACGCAUCUUCCAAACCAACAAGGGGUGCUGGACCCACUCCCAGUGGUCCGGUGUGAGGAGACAGGGCUCUCCCGGGGUGGCUCGUCUGAGGAAGUAGAAGAGUCCCCUUCUUCAUGUGCCUGGAGAACACGGGGCUGGGAGGCGAGGUGACAUUUGCGGCAGAGACUUGUCCACGGACCCCCCCACCCCCUGCCCUCCAGGAGCCUUCCAGUCUUCCUGCCCGCCCCUAUCUGGAGGGAUGCUGGCCAGAAGGGAUGGGGUGGGAGCCGGAGGGGUGACUGGAGCAGGGCCCUGCUGCCCGUCUCCCUGCCUGGAGGACCUGAAUUUUCUUUCCGUUUUGCAGAAGAAAGUUGCUGCCAGAGAAUCCCACUCCUUCCCGGUUUCCCAGAGUCCAGAGACCCAGUGGUUCAUAAACUGCGCCCCCGCCCCUGUGCCCCCCAUCUCUCACCAAGCCCUGCCCCCAGUUCACAGGGGAGCUGAACCUAAAGGAAAUGACAGCGGAGAAGAUGUCAAGUUCCUCUCCCGUCCAUUUUUGCCCUGGCUUCAGGGAUGCUAUUUGAGACCUUGCCCCUAAUCUGGCCACUGUUGUUCUCACCCUUCUUCCCCAGAUUUCCCAAGAGACUGAGUCUCGGCCUGAGAGUCUGGACACUGGCUCCUUUUGCAGCAUCGCCCUCGGAUGAGAGCGCCACGAAGGCUGGAGGCGGGGCGCACAUGGCCCUGGGUGGACACGGGCAGUUACUGAUGGAGUCCAGACCAUUAACGGUCUCCUGUGUCCGAAACCCUUCCAUUAAUAGGCGCUAAUGGCUGAUAUUUACCGAGGACCUGGUACGUCCCAGACAUGUUCUGAGUGCUCUCCUGCGUUAAGGAAAUGGAUUCGUUGACCACAUCUCUGUUUUGCAUACAAGGAAACUGAGGCACAGAGAGGUAAAGCAGGUGACCCAAGGUGAAUGGUCUAGCCAGGAUCUGAACCCUUUGGCUCCAGAGCCUGUGCCCUUAACUGCAAGGCCAAGCUGCCAGGGGAGAGGCCGUCUGCCAGCCCUGCUCUGCCUCCUUCCUGCAGCUUCUUGUGAAGCGCACACGUUCCCGGCGAGGGCCCAAGGACGCUUCGUCCACCUCCUGGGUGUGAAUUAGUUUAGCAGGUCCUUCCCCCACCACAAGGAGUUGGCUGCGGGCCUAAGGAUAACCCUGGGCUUCUCGCGGGGUGGGUGGGGAAUGGAGCCUCAAAAGAGGGCAUGCGGGUCAAGAAAGAGCAGGCAGCGUCCUCAGAGCCGCUGAGGGUGGUGGAGAGGGGGAACGGUUAGGUCCCCCAGCUCGGUAGGGACAACAGCAGGGAGACAAGAGGAGGAACAGUGAGGGUAGAGUGAGGAAGGGCCUGAGCUGGCCCCUCAGAGCCAAUGUGUUUAGUGUGACCUCCUGGAGAGGAGCAAAGGGGCUUGGAGGCGGAUGGACAGGGGAGUGGACAGACAGACAGGGCAGUGGAGGGGUGGCAACAGCCCUCGAGGCCUGAUCUGGGUGUCAGGGUCCUGCGGGCCAUAGCCUGAGCCCUGACCUUCCAAGGAUGCCCCGGGCCACUCCAUCAGAGUCCAGAGUCAUGAUUCUGAAUUUGAACCCCCCACACUCAGCCCAGCUCUUGGCUCCCCAGGGGCAUGAAGUGUGUCUGUGCCAGCUGGAGGCCAGAUGCGGCCAGGAUCCUUCUGUUGGAAUUGCCUAAAAACCUAGAAUAAACUUGUGCCACCACACCCGUGCUGUGGACCAUUCAGGGCCUACAGCAUGCCCCCUGGUCUUCAUGGUGAUGCGGGGAGGUGGCCCAGACUAUCCUCAUCUAGCCUGUGAGCACUUGUGCUCAGGGAGGUUGCCACUCGCUCGGGAUCCAAACCCAGAAUUGCACACACCGAACGUGACGCUCCUUCCACUAACCCACAGCUGCCCCGCCGGGGCUCCCAGCCAAUGCUGUAGCUAUGGGGCCUUCCUGGGAUCCCCGCAGGAAUUCCUUGCCUUCCAGACCCUUUGCGCACUGCUUCCCAAACCUCUGUUUGCUUCAGAAUCGCCCGGGGAGGGUAUUUAAGAGGCAGAUUUCCAGAGUUCACCCGGCUCCGAGAUUCUGACUGUGGAGUCUGGGUUGGGGCCCAGGGUUCUGAAUUCACAGCACACAGCAAAUAAUUCUAAAGCAGGAGGUUCCUGGAGGCACCCAGCUCUGAGAAACCUGUACUAUUUGCCAGCUCAGGAUCUCAGCUGUCUGUCCCAAACCCUUUCCCAUGGCAGAGGUCCAUAAACAUCCAAGGGAUGAACGAGGACCCCUUUAUCCCUGAUUUUGUCACUCAGGUUUCUCUUGUGGGCUUAACAUGUUGUAAAGGGCGACGGGAGACUUUUCUAGGCUGCAGAUUGGUCAUCCUCAUAGGCUCCAGGCUGCUUCUCCUGGGUUUCACUCCUCAGGCAAGGGACAUGUGCGUGAGGUGAGGCCACCAUGAGGUCGUGGCAGGGGCAUCGUGCUGCACCCACAUUUUCAGACCGGGUUGGUGCUCUCUUUGGCUAACGUCACAGAAGGCAGUCCAGACCCCAAGGCAGUGUUUCUCUGAUUGUGCCCCAGCAACUUCAGAGUCACCUGUGUUGUCUGGCAAAAAAUGCAGAUUCCAGUCACCUGACCUUGUUCUGUUGAGGGGUGGGGUGGGGGACGGGGCCCAGAACUCUGCAUUCUUAGCUAACACCCCAACCAAUUCUUAUGGACGCGAACGGUUGAGAAAUCCUGCUGUAGAACGUGGAUUUUGCAGCGUCACGGACCUGGGUUCAAAGCUCAGCUCUGCCACGAAAUAGCUGUGUGUGUGUGGUCUGGAACCAAUUCCUUAACCUUUGUGAGACGGUUUCCUCAUCUGUAAGAAGCGGGUUACUAUGCCGGCCUCUUGAGGAUUAAAUCAAACCGUGGGAAAAUCGAUACACAACACCCGGCAUCGGGGAACCUCUCCGGGGGGCACACCCAGCCACGUGGUAAAGGGGGGGCGGUGCACAAAUUAAAUGCCUUCCCUGGGAGGGAAGAGCUGGGCGUACACCCAGCAUUACUCAUCCAUGGCAAACGCCGAACUGUUUUAACACAUUUCUGACCCGCGUUUCCUGUAGGAUGAGCUCCAUGAGCUUUCCAAGGUGACCAGAUCCGGUUCCCGUCCUCAGGUGUGAGCCGUCCCAAGUUGGAGUCAGGUGAUGUAAACAGAAUAACCGUUCAAUUUGGCCCCUCGUAGGCAAGUCCUCCAUCCCACCCUCGCCCCCAACCCCUUUCCCCUCCACUUUACAUUCCCAAACCCCUCUCGCUGUGGGACUAGGCCCUCUCUGCAAACCACAGGUCAGCCAAGGUCCCUGGGACCUUUAGUCUGGUAGCCGGCUGCCAGGAGUGGGGAGUCUGGGAGUCUUCCUUGCCUUGGCUCCCCGAGUCUGGCCCAUCCAAAGAAAUGCCAACACUUGUGAGAAGCUUCCAUCAUUCAUAACGGGUCAGUUCCCUCCGGAAAUGUUCCCCUGCUCUGCUGAAAGCCUGCCAGGCGACUCGGUGACGUCCAGCUCUCAGCCCACACAAUGGGCACGGGCAGAACAAUGUGGAGUCGGAAAAACAUCCCGCCUGUCCUUAGGCUCACAUCCUCCUGGGAGCCCACCCCACGCCCAUCCCAAGGCUCCCAGAGCUAGUGGGAAAGGGUGGGGGGAGAAGGAGGGGUGCAGAGAGGGGCCCGGAGCAGCUGUGGAAGAGGCAAGGUGAAGAGUGGCUGUCUUCCGAACCAGCUGGGCGAGUCAGAUUAGAAGUCAAAUCUGCUUAUUCUGGCUCCCCUGCCAGCUCUAGGGGCCAAGGGCUCAACAGCUCCAUACUGGAACGGAUUAAAAUCGGAGCUGGCAAAAAACUAGUUCAGUGAGGCAAAUAGGUGUACCUGAUGGGAGACCUUGCUUUGUCACUUAACUAACCGUGUGCAAGGUGUUAAACCUCCCAGGGCCUCAGUUUCCACAUCCGUGAAAUGGGGUAAUCGGCCUGCCCCUGUCUACCCCACAGGACGUUUUCAGAGCAAAAUGGGCUAGUGUGCAUGAGAGUGCCUCAGUCAUUGCAAACAAAUUCACCACCUGGUGUUGUUCGCCUCACAAAGCAGUUAGGGUUGGGGUGGCAGUGACGACUGCCCAGACAGUUUACAAUCUGAACCCUAGGAAGACACUGAAACCCGAGUACAGAACGCAGGCUGUUAGAAUUUCUAGAUCGUGAGGCUUGGGGGUACGACUGGUUGGAGGCGGAGGGUGUUGGAUGACUUACCUCGAGGUCACAUUACCCUAUCAAGCUCUGGUUUUACUCAGGUUGUGUGUAUUUGGGUGACGUUUGGGUGAUGGGGGUUAUGAGAGGCUGAGACCCCCUGAAGCCCUAGUGUCAGCACUUUGGUGCCGGCAGAACUGAGCACACAGAAAAUAUUCAUGGGAUGGAUCACGGAAGACUUCCUGGAGGAGGGGAGUUUGAGACGUGCUUGAAAGGAGGAGGGAGGGAAAUGAUUCAUACAAAACACUGAAGUGGAAACAGGUUGGUGUAAAAUCUGGAGCAGAGGGGACACUCUAGGGCAUCUGGGGCCCCCCUUCACUUUAGGGACAGGGGCGCUGACUCCCAGCAAGGGGAAGCACCUGUCCAAGGCCCAGUGAGUCUGACUGAGCCGGAACUGCUGAGGGAGGUGGAAGGAGAAGUCCAGGCAGAGGGAACACGGACAGAUGGACUCUGGAGGUGCAGAGGCUUGAGAAAGGAAGCCCCUUCCAGGAAGGGUGGGUCCUUGGCCCAGCAGCACGAGUGUAGAUGGUCACACUACAGAGCGGAUGGUCAGACACAGGUGGAGAAAGAGGCUCAGUGGCUGGGGAACAUAGGGCUUGGGAACCUUGCGAAGAUGCCGGUAGGACCAUCAAUGGGAAGAUUCCUGAUGGAUCAGACGUUUCAUUUUUAUAUUAAUUCAUGUUUCUUCAUGACCCUGACUCGAACCUAGAGUAUAAAGGUGCAACUCACUUUAUGAGUCUUGUAACACUCACAGGUACUGCGGGGGCUGAGGAAAGGGAGGGGAGGGAGGCUCACGGCGGGCAGGGUGCUCCCACCCUCUGGGAUUAUCACCCGGGCAUCUGUGAGGAGCAGAUAAACGAAGCCCACUUCGAAGCCAUCAUUAUUAUUCCUGCAAUCGGCUUAUCUCUCCCUGACCAGACGUUGAGUUCCUUGAGGAGAGAGCACUGUUUACUUAUUUCUAAAUCUUUAGUGUUUCACAGGGUUGCUUGGGCCAAGGAGAUGUUUAAUAAAUGUCUGUUGAAGUAAACAAAGGACAUUUUUUUAAAUUUAGUCAAUUUGUUAAAUUCACAGCACUCUGCCUGGAACAUAGAUGUGUUAGGAUAAGGGACGUUGGAAUUCCCCAGCUCUGAUGGCAGUUCGGGAGGAAGAGUGGCUCCCCUAGGACAGAAGGGGUUUUAUUCAUCCCUGGACUCCCCCCCCCCCCGCCCCCGCCACAGUACUUCCUCCCUCUAGUGCUCCCUCAUGGCACUCACUGGGAAAACAGAGGGUGAGUGAUGUCUGCUUUUAUCCUGGGAGACAGGUAACAACGCUAACACUUAAUGUGGUGCUUUCUAUGUGGCCAAUAAAUUCUGAGUGCUUUCCGUGUAUGAACUCGUUAAAAUUUUUUUUGAUGUUUAUUCAUUCCCGAGAGAGAGAGAGAGAGAGAGAGAGCACAAGUGGAGGAGGGGCAGAGAGAGAGAGAGAGGGAGACACAGAAUCUGAAGCAGGUUCAGGCUCCGAGGUGUCCGCACAGAGCCCGACAUGGGGCUCGAACUUGGGAACGGCGAGAUAAUGACCUAGGCCGAAGUCGGAUGCUUAACCAACUGAGCCACCCAGGCACCCCUAUGUAUUAACUUGUUUAAUCUCCACAUUAAUCCUACACUCACCCUAUUUUACAGAUGGGGAAACUGAGGCAUGGAGAAGCCAUGUUAUGUGGUCCCACAACCAGGAAGUGGUGGAACAGGAUUCAAGUCGAGGCAGCCAGACACUAGAGAGAGCUCUGCUCUCGACCUCUGCCCUGCUUGUGAAUCCUGACCUUCCCCGCUACCUUGUAUAGUGAAGCUGGGCCGUCCUUUCCAUUACCAGGUGGAACUCUUGGCCAGAGGCAUACAGUCACAGGUGGUUGAGGAUCACCUCUCUAACCCCUGGCCCCAUCCCCUCUUCCCCAAGGCAGCCUUCCCACCCUCAACAGCUCUAGCUUCUGGAACCCCAGCUCUGUGGAGACAAUACUCUGGGCUGAGGUCAUCUUCAAGGCUUGCAAAAUCCUUGAGAUGGAAGGUGCCUAAUACAUUGUUGAAAAUAACAGAUCUUAUCAAGGGUGAAGAAAGCAAGAAACGAAAAAGCGGCCAAUUCUAAUGCCAGGAUUGGGAUCCCGGGGGGAAGGAGGGGGCUGGAAUCCCUGCUGCUGGGGACCAGGGUGGGCAUGCGCAGCGUACCCAUGCCACCAUUUACCGAGCACUGGGUGCCAGCCCCAGGGUUCUCUUGAACCCUCACAAUCCUGUGAAAAAGGGUGAUGCCGCAGAGAAGGAAACUGAGGCACAGAGGGGUGUAACAUGCCCAAGGUGGCCCAGCUUGCAAGCAGCAGAGAUGGGAUUUGAAUCCAGGCCUGUGUAUUUUGGAGCCCUGGAUGUGUAAGACUCCGUCUCAGGAACCCAGGACCCAGCUGACCCCUCCUCCAGGGAAAACCUGGAUGGCAUAAAAAGGUUUUGUUGUGUUUGAAAUGUUAAAGAAGAAAAGAACAAAAAGAAAAGGAAAAAAGAAAAGAAAAGAAAGAAAAAAGAAAA